CAAGAAAUUCAUUUAUAUAAUUUAACCUUAAUUGGUUCAUGCGUAGGGAAACCAUUGUGGACUUAAGGUGUGAAUUAUUUGAGAAUUAAUUCUUGUUAAAUCCUGACCGAAGAAGUUUGUUGGACAAAUCCCGAGUGUUUUCUCAACAUGGCUAAGAUGAGACUGACGAGCAGGAGUGAUUGCUAUCGGGUUGGUGCUUUGGGAGUCCUAUUUCAUUUAUUUUUCAGACUUGCGGUUUUAUGCUUUUAUCGAUAUUUUUGGGAUUUAUUACGUUAUUUGGAUUUAUGGCUAUUUAUUUGAUUUAUGGUGUUUGGAGACGAUUCAUGAAGAUUAAUAAAUGAGAAUUUCACGAUUAUUAUUUUUAUUAUUUAUUUCGGAAAAUACGGGUGUUACACAUUUUCGCAACUCAAAAGCAACUUUCACGUAGGGCAAAAGUGGUGGUGGAUUCCAUUUCAAGCAGAUCCACGGGAGGCGAAGUACGCCAAAGGUCCAACGAAGGGGGCGUUGAUGGUUUGGGUUUUGCGUGUGGUAAAAUUGGAAUCCCUCGGUGCAAUUGAAAGGUUUGAAAGAAGUACUUGUGAAGGAAGCG